AAACUGCGAAUGGCUCAUUAAAUCAGUUAUCGUUUAUUUGAUAGUACCUUACUACUUGGAUAACCGUGGUAAUUCUAGAGCUAAUACAUGCGAAAAACCCCGACUUCGGAAGGGGUGUAUUUAUUAGAUAAAAAACCAAUGCCCUUCGGGGCUCUCUGGUGAUUCAUAAUAACUAAACGAAUCGCAUGGCCUUGCGCCGGCGAUGGUUCAUUCAAAUUUCUGCCCUAUCAACUUUCGAUUGUAGAGUAGUGGUCUACAAUGGUUUCAACGGGUAACGGGGAAUUAGGGUUCGACUCCGGAGAGGGAGCCUGAGAAACGGCUACCACAUCCAAGGAAGGCAGCAGGCGCGCAAAUUACCCAAUCCCGACACGGGGAGGUAGUGACAAUAAAUACUGAUACAGGGCUCUUUUGGGUCUUGUAAUUGGAAUGAGUACAAUUUAAAUCCCUUAACGAGGAACAACUGGAGGGCAAGUCUGGUGCCAGCAGCCGCGGUAAUUCCAGCUCCAGAAGCGUAUAUUAAAGUUGUUGCAGUUAAAAAGCUCGUAGUUGAAUUUUGGGCCUGGCUGGCCGGUCCGCCUCACCGCGUGCACUGGUCCGGCCGGGCCUUUCCUCCUGGGGAUCCGCAUGCCCUUUACUGGGUGUGUUGGGGAACCAGGACUUUUACUUUGAAAAAAUUAGAGUGUUCAAAGCAGGCCUUUGCUCGAAUACAUUAGCAUGGAAUAAUAGAAUAGGACGGCUUUCCUAUUUUGUUGGUUUCUAGGGAAGCCGUAAUGAUUAAUAGGGAUAGUCGGGGGCAUCAGUAUUCAAUUGUCAGAGGUGAAAUUCUUGGAUUUAUUGAAGACUAACUACUGCGAAAGCAUUUGCCAAGGAUGUUUUCAUUAAUCAGUGAACGAAAGUUAGGGGAUCGAAGACGAUCAGAUACCGUCGUAGUCUUAACCAUAAACUAUGCCGACUAGGGAUCGGGCGAUGUUACUAUCUUGACUCGCUCGGCACCUUACGAGAAAUCAAAGUUUUUGGGUCU
rnacentral:rRNA from 1 species